rnacentral:other from 1 species
CAGGUUUUGUAGGGAGCUCAUGAAAAAUAAACUCUACAAGCACAUUUUUGGGGACUGUCCCUCACAAUGGUGAGCAAGCCCAGCUCGUACUGGGAAGCCUAAAGUUGUAAUAUGGUCACCCACCUUUAGCUCCGGAGUUUAUGAUCUUGAGUCUCUCUCAAAACUUUU